UACAGAGGGGGCAAGCGUUGUUCGGAAUUACUGGGCGUAAAGAGCGUGUAGGCGGCCAUGCAGGUCCGUUGUGAAAACUCGAGGCUCAACCUCGAGACGCCGGUGGAAACCGUGUGGCUAGAGUCCGGAAGAGGAGAGUGGAAUUCCUGGUGUAGCGGUGAAAUGCGCAGAUAUCAGGAAGAACACCCGUGGCGAAGGCGGCUCUCUGGGACGUGACUGACGCUGAGACGCGAAAGCGUGGGGAGCAAACAGG
rnacentral:rRNA from 1 species